GCAGUUUCCAGGGGGCUCAUUAAGGGAGAUGUGGACAGAAUCCGUGGCGGGGUGGUGAUUCCCACCCAGCCUCUGCCAGUUUCCAGGGAGCUCCAUUAGGCCAGAGCCUGGCUGCCUGCAGUUGUUCUGCUGGUUGUUUCAGCCCACGUCUCUCUGGCUAGAGGCUGUCCUCCAAUGUCUGCUAAUCCCUGACUGCUCCUGCUUCCCACCUGCCACUAUGAUGCUGACCAGAGCCGAGGCACAGAUGGGACCCCUGCUCAUAGGAUGACUGGGCCAUUUCUCGGAGACUGCACCCUCCCCCCACUGCCACCCUCACAGAGCCAUGGCCAAGGACCACGGGAGCUGUCACCCUGUCCCAAGUCCUGUCUCUAGGUGGGUGACGCAGCCUGAGCUCUUCAACUUCCCAGGGAUAGAAAUUUGCGCACACACGUCCUGGGGCUGAAUCCUGAUGUUAGACGCCCUCCUUACUCUUCCUACUGCCCUCGUCGGAAACACCAUUCAGCCUGCUGAGUCCUGGAAGCAGACAGAAUUCUGACACCAGAUCAAGCCUGUCCCAGUGGCAGAGGGUUGGACUUGCUUUUUCUGCAUGAUACCUAGCAGGGUGGCAACCAGAGGCACUAGAAGUUUGGGUUUGUUCUCCCACGCUCUGUGUUACAAACUUCCCCCAGAUCCAGCUCCUUCCUCCCAGGAAAACCAUCCUCGGGCUCCUGAAGUGCCCUUUCCUGAGCUUUCCAAGGACACAACUGCUGCCCCAGCAAUCAUCACAAGAGAGGAAGAUGGGCAUGGAAAAUAAUACACUUACAAAAAAACUGUGCAAGGUUCUGCAGA
rnacentral:lncRNA from 1 species